rnacentral:ncRNA from 1 species
GAUUGAAAAAGGCAAACCAACCGCAAGUUUGGGACGCAAAGCCAUGGGUCUUAAGCGUGAGUUCUUUAUACGUAAAGAUUGCCAGGUUGCCGAA